UACAGAGGUCUCAACCGUUGUUCGGAUUCAUUGGGCGUAAAGGGUGCGUAGGCGGCGGAGUAAGUCAGGUGUGAAAUCUCGGGGCUCAACCCCGAAACUGCACUUGAUACUGCUUCGCUAGAGUAUUGGAGAGGAGAUUGGAAUUUACGGUGUAGCAGUGAAAUGCGUAGAUAUCGUAAGGAAGACCAGUGGCGAAGGCGAAUCUCUGGACAAUUACUGACGCUGAGGCACGAAGGCCAGGGGAGCAAACGGGAUUAGAUACCCCGGUAGUCCUGGCAGUAAACGGUGCACGUUUGGUGUGGGAGGAUUCGACCCCUUCCGUGCCGGAGCUAACGCGUUAAACGUGCCGCCUGGGAAGUACGGUCGCAAGAUUA
rnacentral:rRNA from 1 species